rnacentral:rRNA from 1 species
ACUCAAAGGAAUUGACGGGGGCCCGCACAAGCAGCGGAGCGUGUGGUUUAAUUCGAUGCAACGCGAAGAACCUUACCCGGGCUUGACGUGCUGGUAGUAGCGAGGGGAAACCCGAGCGACCCGCAAGGGAGCCAGCGCAGGUGCUGCACGGCUGUCGUCAGCUCGUGCCGUGAGGUGUUGGGUUAAGUCCCGCAACGAGCGCAACCCCUGCCGCCAGUUACGAUGUCUGGCGGGACCGCCGGGACCAACCCGGAGGAAGGUGGGGAUGACGUCAAGUCAGCAUGGCCCUUACGUCCGGGGCGACACACACGCUACAAUGGCCGGGACAAAGGGUAGCGAGGGCGCGAGCCGGAGCCAAUCCCAUCAAACCCGGUCUCAGUUCGGAUCGGAGGCUGCAACUCGCCUCCGUGAAGUCGGAGUUGCUAGUAACCGUGGGUCAGCACACCGCGGUGAAUACGUUCCCGGGCCUUGCACACACCGCCCGU